GCAAACAAGUUAGGCAGAGCCGCAGAGGACGAGAGCACCCACCACCGAAGACCAAGAGCUGUAGUGUAGGUGCAGGUGUGCUCAUCCCCACCACACGUGCCCAUUUGCAUCGAUCCAUUCCCUUGCUGCCGCUGCCCCCAUCAUCGAUCCUCUGAUCCUCUCUAGUGGUGUGGUGGGGCUCAAAGCCAAGCUCCACUAACUUUUAGUAUUAUGUAGCCGACGGCCUGGGCUGCCUGGAUAUGUAUGCCUUGCCACUGCCACCGCCGCCGCUGUCCUUCAUCUCUUGGAGGUUGGAGCUUUCCCCUCCCUCCUCGCGUCCAUAUCCUAUUAAUUAUUCCCUUUGCUAGCUCCCUCCCCGCCGGUUCCUUUCCUCGAUCGCAUUGUCUGUCUUGUGUUGCUUUCUUCCUUCAUCUAUCCUCUCGCCGGGCCUGCCUCAAUCCAUCGCAUUGCUCCUCUGCUGCUGAUGCGCUUCCUUCUCGGAGCAGGGCCGCAAAUUAAAGCAGGCGCAACUUGAUGAUCAGCAGAGGCUAGCUUCUCAGGUUCAGAUUUCUUGAUUGAUCUCGCAUCGGUCGCAGCCAUGGAUCCUGAGUUCGGAGUAGGCACGGCGCCCCGAAAGAGGGAGUCAUGGCGCACGACGCUGCUGCUGGCGUACCAGAGCCUCGGGGUGGUGUACGGCGACCUCAGCAUCUCGCCGCUCUACGUGUACAAGAGCACCUUCGCCGAGGACAUCAAGCACUCGGACACCAACGAGGAGAUCUUCGGCGCCCUCUCCUUCGUCUUCUGGACGCUCACCCUCAUCCCCCUCAUCAAGUACGUCACCAUCGUCCUGCGCGCCGACGACAACGGCGAAGGAGGCACGUUCGCGCUCUACUCCCUCAUCUGCCGCCACGCCAAUGUCAGCCUCCUCCCCAACCGCCAGGUCGCCGACGAGGAGCUCUCCACCUACAAGCUCGAGUACCCGCCUGAGGUCGCCCAGAGGUCACGCGUCAAGGACUGGCUGGAGAAACACAAGAAGCUGCACACCGCGCUGCUCGUCAUGGUCAUGAUCGGAACAUGCAUGGUCAUCGGGGACGGCGUCCUCACGCCGGCGAUCUCGGUGUUCUCGGCUGUUUCAGGGCUCGAGCUCUCCUUGUCCAAAGAUCAACAUGAAUAUGCGGUCAUUCCCAUAACCUGUGUCAUCCUAGUAUUCCUGUUUGCUCUGCAGCAUUAUGGCACCCACCGUGUAGGAUUCCUCUUCGCGCCGAUCGUUCUGUCCUGGCUGCUCUGCAUGAGCGCAAUCGGCUUGUACAACAUCAUCGUCUGGAACCCUCAUGUUUACCGGGCACUCAAUCCCUCCUACAUGAUCACAUUCCUGAAGAAGACCAGGAAGUCUGGCUGGAUGUCGCUGGGAGGGAUUUUGCUAUGCAUGACAGGAUCCGAAGCCAUGUUUGCAGAUCUUGGCCACUUCUCCUACAGCGCAAUCCAGCUUGCUUUCACUUCUUUAGUGUACCCUUCACUGAUAUUGGGAUACAUGGGUCAAGCUGCGUAUUUGUCCAAACACCAUAACCUUGACGCAAGCUACCAGAUUGGAUUCUACAUCGCAGUUCCAGAGAGCGUAAGGUGGCCUGUGCUAGUGCUGGCGAUAUUGGCAUCGGUGGUAGGAAGCCAAGCAAUCAUCAGUGGGACCUUCUCCAUCAUCAACCAGAGCCAGUCCCUGAGUUGCUUCCCCAGGGUGAAAGUUGUACACACCUCUGACAAAAUUCAUGGCCAGAUCUACAUCCCUGAGGUGAACUGGAUGCUAAUGAUCCUCUGCAUUGCUGUCACCGUUGGUUUCCGUAAUACGAAGCACAUGGGGAAUGCGUCCGGCUUGGCCGUGAUCACGGUGAUGCUGGUGACGACGUGCCUCAUGUCCGUGGUGAUCAUGCUGUGCUGGCACCGGUCGCCUCUGCUUGCCCUGGCAUUCUUCCUCUUCUUCGGUUCGAUGGAGGCGCUCUACCUGUCGGCAUCGCUGAUCAAGUUCCUGGAAGGUGCUUGGGUGCCGAUCCUCCUGUCCCUGAUCCUGCUGGCCGUCAUGUUCGUGUGGCACCACGUGACCAUCAGGAAGUACGAGUACGACAUGCACAACAAGGUGACCCUGGAGUGGCUCCUCGCCCUGGGCGACAAGCUGGGCAUGGUGCGCGUCCCGGGCAUCGGCCUCGUCUACACCGACCUCACCUCCGGCGUGCCGGCCAACUUCUCCCGCUUCGUGACCAACCUGCCGGCGUUCCACCGGGUGCUCGUCUUCGUCUGCGUCAAGUCCGUGCCGGUGCCGCACGUGCUCCCCGCGGAGCGCUACCUCGUCGGCCGCGUGGGGCCCCCGGGGCACAGCUCCUACCGGUGCAUCGUGCGCUACGGCUACCGCGACGUGCACCAGGACGUGGACUCGUUCGAGACGGAGCUCGUCGAGAGCCUCGCCACCUUCAUCAAGCUAGACGCGCUGUUUCGGUGCAGCGACGCCGGCGAGCCGCGAGGCAGCUGCUGCUCUGAGAACGAGCGCGAGAACGCGCUGACGGUCAUCGGGAGCAACCCGCUGCGGCGCCACCUGGGCCUGGGGUACGACGACGACCACGACGGCGUGUCGUCCUCGGCCCACGACCAGGAGACGCACGUGGACGGGAUCGAGCUCGCGGCGGCGCCCCCGGCGAUCAUCAGGAACCAGGUGAGGUUCGCGGUGGAGAGCGCGGCCACCUGCAGGAGGAGCCCCGGCGGCGUGGCCGACGAACGCGUGCUGGAGGAGCUGCACGAGCUGUGCGAGGCGCGGGAGGCCGGCACGGCCUUCAUCCUGGGGCACUCGCACGUGCAGACAAAGCCCGGGUCGUCGCUGCUGAAGAAGCUGGCCGUCGGCGUUGGUUACAACUUCCUGAGCCGGAACUGCCGCGGCCCGGACGUGGUGCUGCGCGUGCCGCCGGCGUCGCUGCUCGAGGUCGGCAUGGUCUACGUGCUGUGAGAAACGUGACGGCGAUCUGUGCGUCCUGCUUUCAGUGCGUAAGCUACGGAUCUCUCUCUCUCUCUCUCUCUCUCUCUCUCUCUCUCUCUCUCAUUUGAAGUGUUACUGAAUCAGAAAGCAGAAAUGGCGUAACAGAAUUCACACAUACUUGUAUGCCACUCCAUCAAUCUUUUAUACUCAAUCAUCACCAGAA